GGGUAACCUGCCCAUCAGAAGGGGAUAACACUUGGAAACAGGUGCUAAUACCGUAUAACACUAUUUUCCGCAUGGAAGAAAGUUGAAAGGCGCUUUUGCGUCACUGAUGGAUGGACCCGCGGUGCAUUAGCUAGUUGGUGAGGUAACGGCUCACCAAGGCAACGAUGCAUAGCCGACCUGAGAGGGUGAUCGGCCACACUGGGACUGAGACACGGCCCAGACUCCUACGGGAGGCAGCAGUAGGGAAUCUUCGGCAAUGGACGAAAGUCUGACCGAGCAACGCCGCGUGAGUGAAGAAGGUUUUCGGAUCGUAAAACUCUGUUGUUAGAGAAGAACAAGGAUGAGAGUAAAACGUUCAUCCCUUGACGGUAUCUAACCAGAAAGCCGCGGCUAACUACGUGCCAGCAGCCGCGGUAAUACGUAGGUGGCAAGCGUUGUCCGGAUUUAUUGGGCGUAAAGCGAGCGCAGGCGGUUUCUUAAGUCUGAUGUGAAAGCCCCCGGCUCAACCGGGGAGGGUCAUUGGAAACUGGGAGACUUGAGUGCAGAAGAGGAGAGUGGAAUUCCAUGU
rnacentral:rRNA from 1 species